rnacentral:tRNA from 1 species
UGCUCGUGUAGUGUAGUUCGGUCCAUCAUGACGGACUCUCGAUCCGUCGACCCGGGUUCAAAUCCCGGCACGAGCAUC